rnacentral:rRNA from 1 species
AUACGUAGGGGGCGAGCGUUGUCCGGAAUGAUUGGGCGUAAAGGGCGCGUAGGCGGCCCGGUAAGUCUGGAGUGAAAGUCCUGCUUUUAAGGUGGGAAUUGCUUUGGAUACUGUCGGGCUUGAGUGCAGGAGAGGUAAGUGGAAUUCCCAGUGUAGCGGUGAAAUGCGUAGAGAUUGGGAGGAACACCAGUGGCGAAGGCGACUUACUGGACUGUAACUGACGCUGAGGCGCGAAAGUGUGGGGAGCAAACAGGAUUAGAUACCCUGGUAGUCCACACUGUAAACGAUGAAUGCUAGGUGUAGGGGGUAUCGACCCCUUCUGUGCCGCAGUUAACACAAUAAGCAUUCCGCCUGGGGAGUACGGCCGCAAGGUUGAAACUCAAAGGAAUUGACGGGU